AUCACUUCUCGGCAUUUUGGCUAAGAUCAAAGUGUAAUCUGUCUGUCUGUUCUUUUAACCUUAAUAUCUAGAAGUUCCCUCACUGAGGGACCAAUGUAUUAAACUGUUUUUUGUAAGCUGACGGGAUAGUCAAGGCUCGUUCCACCCCCGUCACGGAUCAGCACAGCAUUGCAGUGCCGCCGAAAACGGGUCGCAUAAU